GAUGAACGCUGGCGGCGUGCUUAAUACAUGCAAGUCGAGCGAACAGACGAGGAGCUUGCUCCUCUGACGUUAGCGGCGGACGGGUGAGUAACACGUGUAUAACCUACCUAUAAGACUGGGAUAACUUCGGGGAACCGGAUCUAAUACCGGAUAAUAUAUUGAACCGCAUGGUGCAAUAGUGAAAGACGGUGUUGCUGUCUCGUAUAGAUGGAUCUGGGCUGCAUGAGCUAGUUGGUAAGGUAACGGCUUACCAAGGCAACGAGGCGUAGCCGAGCUGAGAGACUGGUAGGCCACACUGGAACUGAGCCACGGUCAAGGGUCCUGAGGGAGGCAGCAGUAGGGAAUGUUCCGCAGUGGGCGGAAGCAUGGCGGAGCGAGGCCGCGUGAGUGAUGAAGGUCUUCGGAGCGUGAAGCUCUGUUAUUAGGGAAAAACAAAUGUGUAAGUAGAUGUGCCCGUCUUGACGGUACCUGAUCAGAAAGCAACGGCUAACUACGUG
rnacentral:rRNA from 1 species